UACGUAGGGGGCUAGCGUUGUCCGGAUUUAUUGGGCGUAAAGAGCGUGUAGGCGGCCAGGUAGGUCCGCUGUGAAAACUCGAGGCUCAACCUCGAGAUGUCGGCGGAAACCAUCUGGCUAGAGUCCGGAAGAGGAGAAUGGAAUUCCUGGUGUAGCGGUGAAAUGCGCAGAUAUCAGGAAGAACACCCGUGGCUAAGGCGGUUCUCUAGUACGGUACUGACGCUGAGACGCGAAAGCGUGGGGAGCGAACAGG
rnacentral:rRNA from 1 species